UGGAGGAAGCUUAGAUGUUCUUAGGGCUCUGUUCACCACAUAGCCACAGUCAGCAUGGAGGCUGACUGAGUUGCAAACAGCCAUGGAGGGCUGGUUUUGCAACGGUGGCGUACAUUUAUAAAACCUAUACCAGAGUCCUUAGAACAUCUUAGCUUCGUAC
rnacentral:ncRNA from 1 species